GGUUAAGCGACUAAGCGUACACGGUGGAUGCCCUGGCAGUCAGAGGCGAUGAAGGACGUGCUAAUCUGCGAUAAGCGUCGGUAAGGUGAUAUGAACCGUUAUAACCGGCGAUUUCCGAAUGGGGAAACCCAGUGUGUUUCGACACACUAUCAUUAACUGAAUCCAUAGGUUAAUGAGGCGAACCGGGGGAACUGAAACAUCUAAGUACCCCGAGGAAAAGAAAUCAACCGAGAUUCCCCCAGUAGCGGCGAGCGAACGGGGAGCAGCCCAGAGCCUGAAUCAGUGUGUGUGUUAGUGGAAGCGUCUGGAAAGGCGCGCGAUACAGGGUGACAGCCCCGUACACAAAAAUGCACAUGCUGUGAGCUCGAUGAGUAGGGCGGGACACGUGGUAUCCUGUCUGAAUAUGGGGGGACCAUCCUCCAAGGCUAAAUACUCCUGACUGACCGAUAGUGAACCAGUACCGUGAGGGAAAGGCGAAAAGAACCCCGGCGAGGGGAGUGAAAAAGAACCUGAAACCGUGUACGUACAAGCAGUGGGAGCACGCUUAGGCGUGUGACUGCGUACCUUUUGUAUAAUGGGUCAGCGACUUAUAUUCUGUAGCAAGGUUAACCGAAUAGGGGAGCCGAAGGGAAACCGAGUCUUAACUGGGCGUUAAGUUGCAGGGUAUAGACCCGAAACCCGGUGAUCUAGCCAUGGGCAGGUUGAAGGUUGGGUAACACUAACUGGAGGACCGAACCGACUAAUGUUGAAAAAUUAGCGGAUGACUUGUGGCUGGGGGUGAAAGGCCAAUCAAACCGGGAGAUAGCUGGUUCUCCCCGAAAGCUAUUUAGGUAGCGCCUCGUGAAUUCAUCUCCGGGGGUAGAGCACUGUUUCGGCAAGGGGGUCAUCCCGACUUACCAACCCGAUGCAAACUGCGAAUACCGGAGAAUGUUAUCACGGGAGACACACGGCGGGUGCUAACGUCCGUCGUGAAGAGGGAAACAACCCAGACCGCCAGCUAAGGUCCCAAAGUCAUGGUUAAGUGGGAAACGAUGUGGGAAGGCCCAGACAGCCAGGAUGUUGGCUUAGAAGCAGCCAUCAUUUAAAGAAAGCGUAAUAGCUCACUGGUCGAGUCGGCCUGCGCGGAAGAUGUAACGGGGCUAAACCAUGCACCGAAGCUGCGGCAGCGACGCUGAUGCGUUGUUGGGUAGGGGAGCGUUCUGUAAGCCUGCGAAGGUGUGCUGUGAGGCAUGCUGGAGGUAUCAGAAGUGCGAAUGCUGACAUAAGUAACGAUAAAGCGGGUGAAAAGCCCGCUCGCCGGAAGACCAAGGGUUCCUGUCCAACGUUAAUCGGGGCAGGGUGAGUCGACCCCUAAGGCGAGGCCGAAAGGCGUAGUCGAUGGGAAACAGGUUAAUAUUCCUGUACUUGGUGUUACUGCGAAGGGGGGACGGAGAAGGCUAUGUUGGCCGGGCGACGGUUGUCCCGGUUUAAGCGUGUAGGCUGGUUUUCCAGGCAAAUCCGGAAAAUCAAGGCUGAGGCGUGAUGACGAGGCACUACGGUGCUGAAGCAACAAAUGCCCUGCUUCCAGGAAAAGCCUCUAAGCAUCAGGUAACAUCAAAUCGUACCCCAAACCGACACAGGUGGUCAGGUAGAGAAUACCAAGGCGCUUGAGAGAACUCGGGUGAAGGAACUAGGCAAAAUGGUGCCGUAACUUCGGGAGAAGGCACGCUGAUAUGUAGGUGAGGUCCCUCGCGGAUGGAGCUGAAAUCAGUCGAAGAUACCAGCUGGCUGCAACUGUUUAUUAAAAACACAGCACUGUGCAAACACGAAAGUGGACGUAUACGGUGUGACGCCUGCCCGGUGCCGGAAGGUUAAUUGAUGGGGUCAGCGCAAGCGAAGCUCUUGAUCGAAGCCCCGGUAAACGGCGGCCGUAACUAUAACGGUCCUAAGGUAGCGAAAUUCCUUGUCGGGUAAGUUCCGACCUGCACGAAUGGCGUAAUGAUGGCCAGGCUGUCUCCACCCGAGACUCAGUGAAAUUGAACUCGCUGUGAAGAUGCAGUGUACCCGCGGCAAGACGGAAAGACCCCGUGAACCUUUACUAUAGCUUGACACUGAACAUUGAGCCUUGAUGUGUAGGAUAGGUGGGAGGCUUUGAAGUGUGGACGCCAGUCUGCAUGGAGCCGACCUUGAAAUACCACCCUUUAAUGUUUGAUGUUCUAACGUUGACCCGUAAUCCGGGUUGCGGACAGUGUCUGGUGGGUAGUUUGACUGGGGCGGUCUCCUCCUAAAGAGUAACGGAGGAGCACGAAGGUUGGCUAAUCCUGGUCGGACAUCAGGAGGUUAGUGCAAUGGCAUAAGCCAGCUUGACUGCGAGCGUGACGGCGCGAGCAGGUGCGAAAGCAGGUCAUAGUGAUCCGGUGGUUCUGAAUGGAAGGGCCAUCGCUCAACGGAUAAAAGGUACUCCGGGGAUAACAGGCUGAUACCGCCCAAGAGUUCAUAUCGACGGCGGUGUUUGGCACCUCGAUGUCGGCUCAUCACAUCCUGGGGCUGAAGUAGGUCCCAAGGGUAUGGCUGUUCGCCAUUUAAAGUGGUACGCGAGCUGGGUUUAGAACGUCGUGAGACAGUUCGGUCCCUAUCUGCCGUGGGCGCUGGAGAACUGAGGGGGGCUGCUCCUAGUACGAGAGGACCGGAGUGGACGCAUCACUGGUGUUCGGGUUGUCAUGCCAAUGGCACUGCCCGGUAGCUAAAUGCGGAAGAGAUAAGUGCUGAAAGCAUCUAAGCACGAAACUUGCCCCGAGAUGAGUUCUCCCUGAC
rnacentral:rRNA from 1 species